GAUGAACGCUAGCUACAGGCUUAACACAUGCAAGUCGAGGGGCAUCAUGGCGGUCGCUUGCGACCGCUGAUGGCGACCGGCGCACGGGUGCGUAACGCGUAUCGAACCUGCCGCAUACCCGGGGAUAGCCUUGCGAAAGCAAGAUUAAUACCCGAUGUUCUCACUGUUCCGCAUGUUACGGUGAGCAAAGAAUUUCGGUAUGCGAUGGCGAUGCGUCCCAUUAGCUAGUUGGCGGGGUAACGGCCCACCAAGGCAUCGAUGGAUAGGGGUUCUGAGAGGAAGGUCCCCCACAUUGGAACUGAGACACGGUCCAA
rnacentral:rRNA from 1 species